rnacentral:rRNA from 1 species
GACAGAGGAUGCAAGCGUUAUCCGGAAUGAUUGGGCGUAAAGCGUCUGUAGGUGGCUUUUAAGUCCGCCGUCAAAUCCCAGGGCUCAACCCUGGACAGGCGGUGGAAACUACCAAGCUGGAGUACGGUAGGGCAGAGGGAAUUUCCGGUGGAGCGGUGAAAUGCGUAGAGAUCGGAAAGAACACCAACGGCGAAAGCACUCUGCUGGGCCGACACUGACACUGAGAGACGAAAGCUAGGGGAGCGAAUGGGAUUAGAACCUACGUAGUCAGACCAAGAUCCUCUGCACCUGAUC